UAAAGACAUGCUAAAGGAUACACAAGGUAUAGACAUGGAUUGUUUCAACAUGGCUGUACGGAUAAACGCUACAGACGAAUUCCAAUGGGCCAUGGACACUACGUUUCACCCAACAUCUACUUGACUGACAGCAGGAAAGGAAAGUAUUAUAUGCGCUCUUCUGCUCCAUCAAAAUUAAAUUACUACUUCUUUACUUAUUACAUGAAUUAUUGUCCUAAAGCUGAUAAGAGACUUUCAUCUUAAAGUCUUCCUUCAAGCUGGGAAGAGAUUUUCAUUUUACAUGACAAGCAACAUCUAUAUUUCCUCGCAUAUGAAUCUUGCAGGAAGAAUAGACAGAAACUUUUUAGUAGUCCCUAUGCCGAUAUGUGAACUCUCAAUCGGGCGUAAGCUGUGGCGCUUUUUUUUCUGUUAUACUGGUGGAGCUUAAAUCAUAUGCAGACCAGUGAUGGCCUCGAUGAUAAAAAAUAAAAAAAGAGUAUCACUAUCACCGUGAUAUGCAGCGAUGAAGACUGUAUGUUAGGCGUGGGCUUGGUGGGACUGGAAGAGUGUAGGGAAGAGAGCUGGGACAGUGUAGUACAAGCAGAGUACAAAAUGAUGUGCAUCUCGUUGAUUGACUGACAUAUAGAAGUUAGCGGCCAAGCUAAAGGCUUGAUGUUUUAAAUCUUUGACAGUGAGCUGACUAAUAAUCAUCACAAAGUGACUGAAAUAUA